GAUGAACGCUGGCGGCGUGCCUAAUACAUGCAAGUAGAACGCUGAAGCUUGGUGCUUGCACCGAGCGGAUGAGUUGCGAACGGGUGAGUAACGCGUAGGUAACCUGCCUCUUAGCGGGGGAUAACUAUUGGAAACGAUAGCUAAUACCGCAUAAAAGUCGACAUCGCAUGAUGUUGACUUGAAAGGUGCAAUUGCAUCACUAAGAGAUGGACCUGCGUUGUAUUAGCUAGUUGGUGAGGUAACGGCUCACCAAGGCGACGAUACAUAGCCGACCUGAGAGGGUGAUCGGCCACACUGGGACUGAGACACGGCCCAGACUCCUACGGGAGGCAGCAGUAGGGAAUCUUCGGCAAUGGGGGCAACCCUGACCGAGCAACGCCGCGUGAGUGAAGAAGGUUUUCGGAUCGUAAAGCUCUGUUGUAAGAGAAGAACGAGUGUGAGAGUGGAAAGUUCACACUGUGACGGUAACUUACCAGAAAGGG
rnacentral:rRNA from 1 species